GAUGAACGCUGGCGGCGUGCCUAAUACAUGCAAGUCGAACGAGGUGCCUUUGUAGCAAUACGAAGGUAUCCUAGUGGCGAACGGGUGAGUAACGCGUUGGUGACCUACCCCAAAGUGUGGGAUAACAGAUCGAAAGAUCUGCUAAUACCGCAUGUGGUCUUCGGAUUUAGAAACUGAUGACUAAAGGAGCAAUUCGCUUUGGGAGGGACCUGCGUCCCAUCAGCUAGUUGGUGAGGUAAUGGCUCACCAAGGCUACGACGGGUAGGGGACCUGAGAGGGUGGCCCCCCACAAUGGAACUGAAACACGGUCCAUACACCUACGGGUGGCAGCAGUAGGGAAUAUUGCACAAUGGGCGAAAGCCUGAUGCAGCAACGCCGCGUGUGCGAUGAAGGCCUUCGGUCGUAAAGCACUUUUCUGAGGGAUGAGCAAGGACAGUACCUCAGGAAUAAGUCUCGGCUAACUACGUGCCGAGCAGCCGCGGUAAU
rnacentral:rRNA from 1 species